GCCUUUCAUUGUGCACUCACACUAAGCUUUUCCUCCUCAGAUGCAUAUGAGUCUGCUGCGACUUCUCCUUUUGUUCUUGGCUCCAAGGCAAAUUGCACCUUAAGCGCAAGUCAAAGGACAUCAUUGAGGACAGACUGGACAGGGAGCUGUGGCCCUUCGUCUCAGACCCGGUCCCUUCCACCAGCUCCCAGGCUGCUGUCAGGUUCCAGUCACAUCCUGACCCCCAAGCGCUUCCUGGAUGAUGUCCAAACCCUCAAACAGCUGGUCCCCAAGGAGGCCUAGAAGCAGCCCCCUCCUCCCAGAGACUCUGCCCCCCACAGCUCGCUGCCCCAGCUCCACCUGCUUUUCUCAACAAGGCACCUUCCCCCCUACUCCUGGCUGAGGUGUCGGUUCUUGGGGGCGGGACAGGAGAGGGGCUGGGACCCCCAGGCUGCUUGGCUGUUAGG